GCAGCAUGGGACUUUUGGCCCAAAGACAGUGAGCAAAGGAACAUCUGUGUUUCUUUAAAGAUGUGUCGCCUUAUCCCUGCCCCACAUGAUCCAAAUUGAUGAAAUUCAACUCUCAACAGUACGACUUAUAUGAAAAGAUGUUCUACAACUGCAACCUGGAUUUCUUAUCACCAACAGCUACGAUCUCUAACGUAGCCUGCUACAAGCUGCUGUCAUCAGGACAUCUAGUGUGCAAACCCCAAAACUCAGGGCAACAUCCACAUCAAAAUUAGGUGACGAGAUAUAUCCGGAAAGCCCAAAAUACGAGUAGGAAUAGAGACAGACUUUCCAAAGUCACAAUAUGCGGUAUCAGAAACGGUGCAGAGGAGGAAGCAGAGGGAAGCAACUAGGUACUGGACGGAUCUGAAAAACUCCCAGAUCACGAAUGGACAGUUACUGGUGCCUGCAG